rnacentral:rRNA from 1 species
CCCUUAGAUGUCCUGGGCCGCACGCGCGCUACACUGAUGCAUGCAACGAGUUUAUAACCUUGGCCUGAAAGGUCUGGGUAAUCUUUUGAACGUGCAUCGUGAUAGGGAUAGAUUAUUGCAAUUGUUAGUCUUGAACGAGGAAUUCCUAGUAAACGCGAGUCAUCAGCUCGCAUUGAUUACGUCCCUGCCCUUUGUACACACCGCCCGUCGCACCUACCGAUUGAAUGGUUCGGUGAAGAUCUCGGACUUCGAUAUUUAUUCUUUAUUGAGUUUAUAUUGUGGGAAGUUAUCUAAACCUCAUCAUUUAGAGGAAGGUGAAGUCGUAACA